UCAUGGUUAGUGUCCUGGACAAUAGGAAUC
rnacentral:piRNA from 1 species